AUUGAACGCUGGCGGCAGGCCUAACACAUGCAAGUCGAACGGUAACAGGAAGCGGCUUGCUGCUUUGCUGACGAGUGGCGGACGGGGGAGGAAUGUCUGGGAAACUCCCUGAUGGAGGGGGAUAACUACUGGAAACGGUAGCUAAUAUCGCAUAACGUCGCAAGACCAAAGAGGGGGACCUCUUGGCCUCUUGCCAUCGGAUGUGCCCAGAUGGGAUUAGCUAGUAGGUGGGGUAACGGCUCACCUAGGCGACGAUCCCUAGCUGGUCUGAGAGGAUGACCAGCCACACUGGAACUGAGACACGGUCCAGACUCCUACGGGAGGCAGCAGUGGGGAAUAUUGGACAAUGGGCGCAAGCCUGAUGCAGCCAUGCCGCGUGUAUGAAGAAGGCCUUCGGGUUGUAAAGUACUUUCGGCGGGGAGGAAGAGAGUAAAGUUAAUACCUUUGCUCAUUGACGUUACCCGAAGAAGAAGCACCGGCUAACUCCGUG
rnacentral:rRNA from 1 species